UACGUAGGGUCCGAGCGUUGUCCGGAAUUAUUGGGCGUAAAGGGCUCGUAGGCGGUUUGUCGCGUCGGGAGUGAAAACUCAGGGCUCAACCCCGAGCGUGCUUCCGAUACGGGCAGACUAGAGGUAUGCAGGGGAGAACGGAAUUCCUGGUGUAGCGGUGGAAUGCGCAGAUAUCAGGAGGAACACCGGUGGCGAAGGCGGGUCUCUGGGCAGUAACUGACGCUGAGGAGCGAAAGCGUGGGGAGCGAACAGG
rnacentral:rRNA from 1 species